rnacentral:lncRNA from 1 species
CACAGCCAAACCAUAUGACAGCCCAUGAGCAGGACAAGCUGGAAGGGCUGUAAAGUUAAUGACCCUGGAGUGGCUCUCAAGCAAUGAUGGUGGGAGGUUGGUUGGUAAGGAUCGCAGCUUCCUAGUCCCUCAUUUGGAAUAGCUCUGAGGAGUGUUCCACACUGUCUCCUGGAGUUCCCAGUGGGAUUGUGUUCCAGUUGCCCAUAGUGAUAAAUGCAUGAAAAUGUACGCUUUAUUGGCUUUUUAUUCUCUCCCUUCUCACUUCCCUACUUUCCUAUCAGUUUCCUGGUGUUGCCUUCCAAUGAGACUCUUUGCACCAAAUCUGUACCUCAGGAUGUGCUUUUGGGGGAGCCCAAACCAAGAUAGCCUCAUCCAAGUGUUUGGCUGGGGUCUCCCAGCCUCUUGUUUCUUCUGCCUCUCUGAAUUUCCACAUCUCCAACCACAAUUCCAAUCCUCAAAUUUAGAGAUUAUUUUUCUAAUAUUAUUUUUCUAUUUUAGGGAUUAUUCGGCUACUACUUCAGUGUGAAACAGACACCUUGUUGUCCUCAAAUAUUUCUAUUGCAUUCUACUUGGGGUAGCAAGGAAGUGGGUAUUGAGAAGUAAUGAUUAUCAGUGCCAGGAAGGGGAAAAACUGUCAAAACACCAUUUCUCUGCAGAGUUCAAGACUUCAAUCCCCUUGACAACCAAUUCCUAAACAACAUCAGGGAGUUCCAUUUGGGCUAGAGUUUGUGCAGGUUACUGCGGUUUGAUCACUCUAUAAGGUGGGAAACUCUCCAGCACCAGUCCUCCAGUAUGGUAAGGCAGGACAGCAGCCCAUGGAAGCCAGUACAUCAGCCCACUUCUGUUUUAAUAUUGCUGAGUUGCCUUUAUUUGAAAAAAAUAAAAAUGAAGAGAACAGAGGUGGCAGGAUAUUUUUGAAUCAGGUCUCAUCUGCAUAGGUCUAGCCAGGUAGGGCCAAUUAUUUGUCCUCCAGGAAUUCUGAAUGACUGACUUACGCCUGAGGUAAGUCGGUUUUCUGUCUCAUGUGCAUAUCUGUAUUAUAAUAAUUUUUGUGCACGUCUGCAUUGUAACCAAUUUUGAAGCAUAGUAUAUUUGUUUAUUUUCAUAUGUAUGUUUAUUUGCAUGUAAACAUGGACAUGUCUAGACUAUGAGUUCUUGCACGGCAGGAAUUGUAUCUUUUCCUCUUGCUCCAGUGACCAGGUCAGUGUUUGGCAAAUGGAAGUGCUUGAUGUGUUUGUUGAGUGAGUGAGUGAGUGAAUGAAUAAAUGAAUAAAUAUCUCUCUCUCUAGAUGCUAAAUGGUGGGGAUUCUGGAAUCUAUCGAAUUGGUUGUUAACAUGGCCAUCCCAUGUGCUGUUGACUGACCCCAUAUGGGACUGCUUUGAUUUCCUACAACACUGCUAAUAUUCAGGAUAUUACUGUAUCAACUGUCUUCCAAUAGAGUUGCUUUUGUAGUUUGAUUUGGAAACAGUGCUGUAUUACUUCAAAUGAUUGUGAAAUAAUAAAACAAACAAUAACCUGAAAUGCCAGAAAACA